UCUUUGGUUAUCUAGCUGUAUGAGUUUAUGUGAUAUCAUAAAGCUAGAGAACCGAAUGUA
ensembl:miRNA MIR9-2 microRNA 9-2